UUAUGUCAUGUGUAAACAAAUCCAUGACAGAGAAGAAUGUUAAAAUUAUGUCAUCGUCCCGAUAAAUGACAAUUCGGGGUCUCCUUAUACGGGCCCAAAGUCUAGUGUUUCACACUUUACGGUGGUGUUUAAACAGUAAUUGGGUCAGUUUGUUCACAACUCGCACAUGGUCCGCCUUGCUAAUAAAUCUAUAAAUAUGUGCCGCAUAAACAAAGGAAUCAUCACCGGAAAUAGGAGAGUGCCGCCGGAUUUUUUAAGGGCGGCAAGUUCACGAAUUCUCGGUUUCAUUCAAAAGGAAAGUGUAAACGGUGUUGGAACAACAAACAGGAGUGUUGGUACAAAUGUGCAGGCCUGCUUUCGACGGGAAUAUUAAUAGCAAUUAAACGCAUUUUUCGUAAUUGGGGAAAUGCUGUAAAUUGGGAGUGAUUUUAUUCCGGCUAUUUUUAAGAAGAGGGAUUUGGAGGAGAAAAAUAUGUGCAACGGGCGGGUGUUAAAAUUUUAUGGAAUUUCCUCGUGGCAGGUGUUGUAAUUUCUCCCAAUAGAUAUUUCGGGUGUUUAGUCUGCCGAGUUCGGUGAUCUAGAAUUUUGAUUUAAGAAGACGGAUUGUUGGGAAAUUGUAAACAAAGUUCGGCGCCGAUAGAGAAUUGGGGAAAUCUAGAGAAAUAAAUACUUUUUCCAUGUCCGACAGGAAGACUGAAAAGGUUCCACAACAAAACUCCUAGUUUAGACAUAAUUUCUAUAAUUUCAAUACGACUAUGAAUCUGUUCUUAUAUCUUGUAACAGUUAUUUUUUUAUUUAGAGAAGGUUAAAAUAGUAUUAAAAUAGUUAAAAUAGUCUAUGUAU